UUUUGGACAAUGGGCGAAAGCCUGAUCCAGCCAUUCCGCGUGAGUGAAGAAGGCCUUCGGGUUGUAAAGCUCUUUCCCCCCCCCCCGAAGCGAUGCAGUCGAAUAAACUGUGUUAAUGACGGUACCUUGAUAAGAAGCACCGGCUAACUACGUGCCAGCAGCCGCGGUAAUACGUAGGGUGCAAGCGUUAAUCGGAAUUACUGGGCGUAAAGCGUGCGCAGGCGGUUUUGUAAGUCAGAUGUGAAAUCCCCGAGCUCAACUUGGGAACUGCGUUUGAAACUACAAGACUAGAAUAUGUCAGAGGGGGGUAGAAUUCCACGUGUAGCAGUGAAAUGCGUAGAGAUGGGAGGAAUACCAAGGCGAAGGCAGCCCCCUGGGAUAAUAUUGACGCUCAUGCACGAAA
rnacentral:rRNA from 1 species